GAUGAACGCUGACAGAAUGCUUAACACAUGCAAGUCGAUGGGGAAGUGGUGCUUGCACCAUGGCAACCAUGGCGGACGGGCGAGUAACGCGUAAGGGACUUACCUGCAGGACUGGGAUAACAGGGGGAAACUCCUGACAAGACCGGAUAAUGUCAUGGAGCUGCAUGGCUUUAUGAUGAAAGGAGACGCCUGCGGAGAGCCUUGCGUCCUAUUAGCUAGUUGGUGAGGUAAUGGCUCACCAAGGCGAAGAUAGGUAGCCGGCCUGAGAGGGUGGACGGCCACAAGGGGACUGAGAUACGGCCCUUACUCCUACGGGAGGCAGCAGUGGGGAAUAUUGGACAAUGGGGGCAACCCUGAUCCAGCAAUUCUGUGUGCACGAAGAAGGUUUUCGGAUUGUAAAGUGCUUUCAGCAGGGAAGAAGUAAGUGACGGUACCUGCAGAAGAAGCGACGGCUAAAUACGUG
rnacentral:rRNA from 1 species